rnacentral:lncRNA from 1 species
CCUACUUCUAAAGUUACCGCUAAGUUUCUUGUAUUUAAGUUAUGUCGUUUGUGAAUGAGAAUGGACUUUAAACCUCAAAGUAGCUUGGUUCCUGUUUUUACUACUUAAAGUAACUUUAGUAGAAAUUGGUCCUAUAGACAGGAUUGAUGGUAUAUCUUAUACUCAGCAAUAUGUAUAGUAAAGGCUAAUUAUAUAUAAUGAAUUUUAUAUUAUGACAAUAUAUUUGUAUUUACUAUCAUUGUUACUAAUAACAUAUAAUAUAUGAUAUAUAUUAUAUAUCAUUUAUUUAGAAUUUGUUAUGUGUUAUAUAUUAUAUUAUUAAUUUUCAUUGAUGUGCACAGCACAUUAUGAUUAUGAUAUCACAACCCCUGUUUUGGCCAAGCAAACCACAAGCCAAAUACCUGGGAUGUAACUUUUGACAUGUAGAGCUCUCUAGACUCAUCUAAGUACCUUUCUCAGCUCUGUUCUGACUCUCCCCAUCCCUAUGACUAAGUGAAUCUUUCAUGCAGUCUACUCUCAGGCUUUCUAGCCUUGCUGGCUAAUAAAGCAAUGGCCUUUUGGCAGAAUUCAGAGGUGGUCUUGUUCAAGUGAGAGAGUAGUAGUUACAGAUUGAAAGGGAUACACAGACCCCUCCCCCUCCCCCACCUGCUUCUUACUGUGGUGUUGGCCAUAUGGGUAUUUCAGAAAUGAGUUUGCAUCCAAGUUGCCUGGCCAAGUUGCCAUUGGUCAGUUGGCAACAUUGUGCUAACAAUUCAAAUUCAGAUUUUUUUAAUUGACACCCCCCUAGUGGUUAUUUUAGCUUUUGAGCCCUCUUCAAACAUUUAUCUCUGUUGCCAUGCAUCUUCUUCCGUUGCUAUGUUUAAAGCCUUUAAGAAGGAUUGUUUGAUUUGAGCACUAUUUUUUUUUUCAAUUCAUUGUGUUGUUUUAGGGGCACUGGAGGCACCUAAUCCUCCUCUAGUAGAUUUAUGAAGCCCCCAGAUUUCAUGUACUUGUAAAUGCUUCCAAAGUAAUUAUGCAAACAAGGGCUUUAGCAGUGGGAGAUAAUCAAUUCUCAAAAAUAAUACAUUGCCUAUCGUGUAACAUUAACGAUAGAUUCAGGAUUCCGGCACCUAGAGAAGCAAUUCCCAUCAGCUCCACGGCGUACUUAAUCAAUCCUCAAUGAUGCUUUGGAAAUAUUUCAUCACAAGUAAAAACUAAACUCACUAAGUCUUAUAAAUUGGUCAAAACUUGUGGUUAGGAAAGUCCACUCACUAAGAACUUUCUGUAUUCCACAAUGAUGGUGAGCACAGAGCGUUUUCUUGGUAAUUCACAGGUAAUAUCCACUGGAAGAGAGAACCAUUUGCCAGAUGCAACUCUUUGGCACUAUAGCUGUGAACCAUAUAGUAAAACAUCCUUCUUAGAAUUUACAUUCCACUGGGAGGAAAAUCAAUAGUAAAAUGGAAAAUUUUAAUAAAAUUAGUAAAACGGAACCUUGUAGUUCUUGGAUCAAGAAGGAAAAACAGAAGCAAAGGGAGCGAACCUCAAUCUGCCUGGGGAGAGCUCACUAAGAAGUUGACACAGGAGGGGAGCAGCCUUGUGUCUGAUGCAGUUAUUCAGGUGUGGCUCUAGGAUGGGCAUCCUACCAGCAAGCUCCUGAGGUCUGCUGGGAGAAUUCUCUUUGCCCUCCAGCUACAGUCUGAGCUGCAGGCACAGAGAGAAACAUUCACUACCUAGCUUCUAAGAACCCUUGUCAUUGGUAAGAACUGAACUUUCUGGCUUGCUUGCUUCCCAUGGAGCUGAAAAAAUUUUAAUAUGCAUGUUCUGUGGUUUGAAUAUGAACUCCAAAAGUUCAUGUGUGAGGAACACAAUUCCCCAAAACUAAUACGUUGUAAGUGGGGUUUCAGGAGGUAACUGGAAUUGGAGAAGGCUAUAAAGUUUAACUCUUCCCUUACUGCAGUAUUGGUGGCUUUGUAACAGGUAAAGAGACCUGAAUUAGCACAUGUACUAUCUCCCUAGAACACUCUCAUUCACUUCUUCAUGCUAUGAUAUUGCAAGAAGACCCUUCCUGAUGUCACAUAGGUACCAAGCUUUCCCAGCUUCUACAAAGUGAAAAUGAUUUUGCUGUUGCUGCAGAAAAUGGAAUAAGAUAUCC